CGCCGUUCUCAGGGCGGGGCGAAAUUCCCCACCGGCGGUAUGCGGCUUCUGCCGCGAGCCCGCGAGCGCUUUCCCCGCUGCCGGGAAAGGUCAGCAGACCAGGUGCGAUGCCUGGGCCGACGGUUACAGUCCGGAUGAAAGAGGACAUGC
rnacentral:ncRNA from 1 species